UAUGUUUCCUUGUUAGAAGAUACAAAGCCAAAGACUCAUACGGACUUCGGAUACACCACCAAA
rnacentral:sRNA from 1 species